rnacentral:rRNA from 1 species
CCUGGCGGCCGUAGCGCGGUGGUCCCACCUGACCGCAUGCCGAACUCAGAAGUGAAACGCCGUAGCGCCGAUGGUAGUGUGGGGUCUCCCCAUGCGAGAGUAGGGAACUGCCAGGC